GCGUAGAAACCCAGCUUCAGGAGGAAUCUGGAGGACCAGGAAACAUCAGGAGAGGAGCUGCAGCAUCCUCCUCUCAGCUGCAGCACCAGCCCAACUCCCCAAAUUCUCCCUGCGCGCACACGCGCCACCGUCCUCCUGCUGCUGCGCGCGCGCACUCGCAGACACGGGGAAGAACUCGUCCGUUUCACUUCACAUCAGGGGUGUCUCUGGAUUAUCAGACUAAAGCUGCUCCAGUCAGGAGUACACUCCGCCCCCUUCGAGGAGUGACGUUUAAAACACUUGCUGCUCACUCAUUUCAUCCGCCAUUUUCUGUGUCGUUGGGAAAAGGGCUCUUUGCUGAACAUGGUAAGUCUAUUGUUAAAUGUAUUCAAAUUAAGUAUAUUGUUGUUCUCGGAUGUUAACCAAUAAAUGUUUUAUAUAAUUUUUUUAUAACCUAGUAGAAUAUAAUAGUAAAACAAGCAUUUUCAAGUUUGUUUAAAGAUAACUUUUUAAGCUAGCUAAAUAUGAAACUGUCCUGCUCUGUCAUGAUUUUACUCAUUAUGCCGAUUUUGUGUGUAUGUGUGUGUGUGUGUGUGUGUGUGUGUGUGUGUGUGCCUUUGUGUUCGACUCCUGAGUAAUUUUAGCCAAUUUAAUACCUGGUGCCAUUACAAUUUUAAAGUGUGGAGGAUUAAAAGGCUUCGUUUAAGUCCCCCUUUAGGGGAAGAAGGAGGCCAAGCCCGCCAUUUUUUAACUUCUUUAUCUCUCUCUCUCUCCCUCUCCCUCUCCCUCCCCCCCCCCACCCCCCCCCCCCUUCGUGGGAGGGACGGCGCGAGCGCGAUGUAACUAUGCAGACUAGCUUGACGAGUUAAGUCCGUGGUGCAGGCACAAGUGGAGUAAUUCUUGAUUAAAGAAACAGAAAAAAGGAUUUCUUGAUCUGCAGAGUCUUGUGUAUAGAACUUUGAACCACACCACGUGAAGGCUCUGUUGCAGUGGCCGCAGAUGAGGACUACCUCCAGACGUCCAUUGAGGAGACUACCCUGGGAAUCUAUGUGGUGAGAAGUGUACUGACCAAUACAGCGGAAGACAUUGGGAUUGUGCUUGAAGGCCAAAUAGUAUUCCAAGACCUGGAUAACAUAGCAUUAGCUACAGCUGUGCUAUUUGGACUCAUCUAUGCGCUGAACCUGAACUACCCUCCCAGUUUGAAGUACACAUUUGAAGUACUGCAGAAACUAGUGAUGGAGCUCAAAGGAAACACUCUUUCAAAGAAAGUCCAACUUCUCAAAAAUAGACUCUGCGAGUGAGAUGUUUUUACUGAUGUAACCUAAAGAAUUUUCCAGCCUUUAGGGGUCAAUUUCCUGCUCUGUUUUCUACAGACAUAUUCUCUCAUUCACAAUAAUUUUUCUUCUACAAUUUAGUCGGAGUCAAUGAGAUUCAGAAACAACGUGGCCUAAACCAUGCGAUCAGACUUUAAUUUAUGGAUCCAUUAUUCAGCAAUGAGUUUAUGAACAUUACUUCCAUGGAUGAAGUCAGGACAGAGGGACAAUUCGAAUUAUAUCCACGACAGGGAAUUCCUUUACAGGCUGAAUUCCCCGGCACUUCAGCAAAUGACUUAAAUACUUGUGUUGCUGAAACAUCCCUUCUUUUAAGUGGUUGUGUUGACAUGGAUAUUCUUGCCUCAAACGAAUUGGAUGCAUCCAGUUCAUCAGUUUCCAGGACAUUCUGGCCCUCUGUGUUUAACAUUACACGGUUUUCCUUCGACACAGAGAUAAAGCUGCAGCGUGGAAAUGCCAGACACAAAGAAGGCUAGGCUAACAUGUAAGUUUUUUGUUUGUUAAUGCAGGCAACUCUUUCAACAGUAAUACAUUACAAAUAUAUUAAUACAUUAGUAACACAGUACUUUUUUGUAAAUUUCUUGGGUUUCCUGGAAAAAAAAUUUAGCUUGUGAGAUGAUGUUACCUUUUGUGAUCUUUUAACUUGCUUCCUGUUGACAGGUUUUUUUUUUUUGUAAGUAAUUUCUCAAUUCAGAAGGUUUGCCAGUAAUGAAACUUUGGUGUGACUUGUGAAAAUGAGCCCCUUUUGUGACUAAUCAGUUAGUUCAUGUUUUUUAUGAAGGAAGUAUUUGCACAAAGGGUAAGACCAAAUAGUCCUCUGUGAUUUGGAUAGUUGUCCAAUUUAGCCAAAUAAAGGCCAAUUUUGUUUGGAUAGCGUUAAUUAAAAAAAUGAGAUUUUUUUUCCUAAGGUAUUCUUGAAUAUAAAGUGUUCUUGAUAAUCAGAAGUAAUAGAUUAAGAUUUCAGUUUGCUGUGUGUAAUUUAAACUGUUCAUGAGUGGGUAUGUUUAUUCGAGUUCCGGAGUAAAGUUUCCAGUAUCCACUUUUAAUAUCAAUAACUACCAGGUUGUGGGAGUACUCUGCUUUUGGCUACAGAGACAAAUGUUUAAAUUUGGUUGUUUUUUUACAUCAUUCUGUAAACUCAGUUUGUGAUUGUAAAGCAAAUUUUUAAACUCACAAUACUGUUGAAUGCAGUGGAGUUAUGUUUCUUUAAUUGUACCACAAGUAUGGAAUCGUAUUUGUAAAUUCAAAUAAAACAAUUGUGCAGAUGAUUAA